GUAACAAGGUUUCCGUAGGUGAACCUGCGGAAGGAUCAUUAAUGAGGGCGUGUGGGCUAACAUCCCCACGAA
rnacentral:rRNA from 1 species